rnacentral:rRNA from 1 species
UAGGGAAUCUUCCACAAUGGACGCAAGUCUGAUGGAGCAACGCCGCGUGAGUGAAGAAGGUUUUCGGAUCGUAAAGCUCUGUUGUUGGUGAAGAAGGAUAGAGGCAGUAACUGGUCUUUAUUUGACGGUAAUCAACCAGAAAGUCACGGCUAACUACGUGCCAGCAGCCGCGGUAAUACGUAGGUGGCAAGCGUUGUCCGGAUUUAUUGGGCGUAAAGCGAGCGCAGGCGGAAUGAUAAGUCUGAUGUGAAAGCCCACGGCUCAACCGUGGAACUGCAUCGGAAACUGUCAUUCUUGAGUGCAGAAGAGGAGAGUGGAACUCCAUGUGUAGCGGUGGAAUGCGUAGAUAUAUGGAAGAACACCAGUGGCGAAGGCGGCUCUCUGGUCUGCAACUGACGCUGAGGCUCGAAAGCAUGGGUAGCGAACAGGAUUAGAUACCCUGGUAGUCCAUGCUGUAAACGAUGAGCGCUAGGUGUUGGGGGACUUUCCGGUUCU